CCUACGGGAGGCUGCAGUGGGGAAUAUUGCACAAUGGGCGGAAGCCUGAUGCAGCGACGCCGCGUGAGGGAUGACGGCCUUCGGGUUGUAAACCUCUUUCAGCAGGGAAGAAGCGUGAGUGACGGUACCUGCAGAAGAAGCACCGGCUAACUACGUGCCAGCAGCCGCGGUAAUACGUAGGGUGCGAGCGUUGUCCGGAAUUAUUGGGCGUAAAGAGCUCGUAGGCGGCUUGUCGCGUCGGAUGUGAAAGCCCGGGGCUUAACUCCGGGUCUGCAUUCGAUACGGGCAGGCUAGAGUUCGGUAGGGGAGAUCGGAAUUCCUGGUGUAGCGGUGAAAUGCGCAGAUAUCAGGAGGAACACCGGUGGCGAAGGCGGAUCUCUGGGCCGAUACUGACGCUGAGGAGCGAAAGCGUGGGGAGCGAACAGGAUUAGAUACCCGUGUAGUC
rnacentral:rRNA from 1 species